AUGGCACCCUCCAGCCUGCUGUGGGCCCUGGUGGCCUUCAUCUAUUCUGGAUCCAGUGUGGCCCAGAAAGUUAUUCAAGACCAGCAAGCUAUAGCCAAGGAAGAGGGGUUGAAAGUCACCCUAAAGUGUCGGUAUGAAAAAAGACCGGGAGACUACAAACUUUACUGGUACAAGCAGCUUCCUGAUGGAAAGAUGACUUUCAUUAUUCAUCACUAUUCUUCUAAAAACAGUGCAGUAAAGGGUCGCUAUUCUAUAAAGUUCCAGAAAGCACACAAAUCCAUCUCCCUCACCAUUUCACCCUUGCAACUGGAAGAUUCAGCAAUGUACUUCUGUAUUAUCCUGGAACCCACUGUGCUUGAGGUGAUAGUAAAAGCUGAACAAAAACCCCAGAGCUCAGUAAGAGCAAGAGCCCUGAUCAGCAUCCAAGCUAAAUCACACCUGCAUGUACCAGACAGGCAAUGGCAGAGACUGUGGAUGUUUCUUCUGUGGUCAGGAUAA